AUCGCUUCUCGACCUUUUGGGUAAGAUCAAGUGUAGUAUCUGUUCUUAUCAGUAGUCUAGUCCGAGCCAUUGAUGUAGGAUGGAUGCUGCAUGGAGGAGACAGGUGUACCAGGGCGUUCGGGGCUGGUUCUGAGGAAUCAGCUCAAUGCAAAAAACCCAGGUACUCCUGCAUGGGCAGGGUACCGACCGUUA